UACGUAGGGUGCAAGCGUUGUCCGGAAUUAUUGGGCGUAAAGAGCUCGUAGGCGGUCUGUCGCGUCUGCUGUGAAAACUCGGGGCUUAACCCCGGGCCUGCAGUGGGUACGGGCAGACUAGAGUGCGGUAGGGGAGACUGGAAUUCCUGGUGUAGCGGUAAAAUGCGCAGAUAUCAGGAGGAACACCGGUGGCGAAGGCGGGUCUCUGGGCCGUAACUGACGCUGAGGAGCGAAAGCGUGGGGAGCGAACAGG
rnacentral:rRNA from 1 species